rnacentral:rRNA from 1 species
GAUGAACGCUAGCUACAGGCUUAACACAUGCAAGUCGAGGGGCAGCGGGAUUGAAGCUUGCUUUAAUUGCCGGCGACCGGCGCACGGGUGCGUAACAGGUGUGCAAUCUGUCCAUAGUCGGGGGAUAGCCCAGCGAAAGUUGGAUUAAAGCUCCAUGUGUCACGAAGCCGCAUGACUUUGUGAUGAAACGUAAGGACUAUGGGUGAGCACGCUUCUGAUUAGAUAGUUGGUGAGGUAACGGCUCACCAAGUCGACGAUCAGUAGGGGUUCUGAGAGGAAGGUCCCCCACAUUGGAACUGAGACACGGUCCAAACUCC